UUUUUUUUUUUUUUUGAGACAGAGUCUCACUCUGUCGCCCAGGCUAGAGUGCAGUGGCACGAUCUCGGCUCACUGCAAGCUCCGCCUCCCGGGUUCAAGCAAUGCUCCUGCCUCGGCCUCCCGAGUAGCUGGGACUACAGGCGGGUGCCACUACGCCCAGCUAAUUUUUGUAUUUUUAGUAGAGAUGAGGUUUCACCAUGUUGUCCAGGAUGGUCUCGAUCUCUUGACCUCAUGACCCGCUGCCUUGAGCUCCCAAAGUGCAGGGAUUACAGGAGUGAGCCACCACCCCUGGCCCAUUUUAACCACUGUUAAGUGCAAUGACAUUACGUUCACAAUGUUGUGCAGCCAACACCACCAUCCAUCUCCAGAACUCGUUCUUUUUUUGCAGCUGAAACUGUCUCCAUUAAACAAUAACUUUCUAUUCCCUCUUCCCCCAGCCUUUGGCAAGCACCAUUCUACUUGAGGUCUCUGAAUUUGACAGCGCCAGGGACCCCUGUCAUUUAUAUUUCACAUAAAUGAAAUCAUUCAGUAUUUGUUCUUUUGUGACUGACUGAUUCCAGUUAGCACAAUGUCCUCAAGGUUCAUCCGUGUAGUAGCCUGGGUCGGAAAUCCCUUUCUUUUUACUCUGUUGUAUAUAUGGAUGAAAUUUGUCCAUCCAUUCACCCAUCAAUGGUCACUUUGGCUGUUUUCACCAUUUGGCUACUGUGAAUAAUGCUGUUAUGAACAUGGGUGUGCAAAUAUCUGUUUGAGACCCUGCUUUCAGUUCUUUGGGGCCUAUACCCAGAAGUAGAAUUGCUAAAUCAGAUGAUAAUUCUAUGUUUGAUAUAGUGUCAUGAAAGGCUCCAGUUUCAUUCUUUUGCAUGUGGAUGUCCAGUUAUCCCAGCACCAUUUGGUAAAGAGACUGUCUUUCCCCAUUGUAUGUUCCGGGCACCCUGUUGAAAAUCAUUUGACUCUGUAUGUAAGGGUUUAUUUCUGGGCUCUCUAUUCUAGUCUGUCUGUUUUGGUAAGUAGGGUUUUAUUAAAACACAGCCAUACCCAUUCAUUUAUAUAUUGCCUGUGGCUGCUUUCUAGAGAAAAUGGGCAGAGUCAGAGUUGUUGUGAUAGAGAACAUCAGGCUUACAAAGCCAAAAACACCAUCUGGCCCCCACAUAUAGCUCCCACCUGCAUGGCCCCAUCGGCUGCCCCUGGGUCCUGAGUUUCCCGCAGCCAGCACCUGGCCUGGCACACCGGUGCCCAGUCAGCAUUGGAGUGACUGCCCUCAGGGACCUGGGAGGACUUCCACCCGCCUCUGCCUGGCUCCCCCUCCAGGGAUAAAGUGGCAACAAGGUUAAAGUCCUCCUUCAUUCCCUGAGGGAUCCUAAGGGACUCUUCUUUCCUACUGAUUUGACUGAAGGAAAAACUGAGGGGGCAUAAUUGCAGGGAAUUGGUUAAACUUUCACAGCAUUCUGGGGGCUCCCUGAUGCUCCUGAUGCUAACCUUUUGGUUGCUGGAGAGUGGGAAGGUGGGGAGCAGGUCCAGGCAGGUAGCUGUGCAGUGGGAGGGGUCCACUGGGGGCUCAGGGCCACAGGAGAGAGUGUUUUUCUGUUCAAGGGUGGAUACGGAGUAGGCAUCUGCCCUCAGUAACAGUGCCUAGCUCGCCUGUGAAAUGGGCUAGGGUGCAUUCAGUGCCCGGAGAGGGUUUGGUGAGUGCCCAUUUCAGGCCCAGCCUUGGGCCUGUCAGGGCCAGGGACGAGUGACAGAGGCCAGAACGUUCUGACAGCCUGAGCCCAGGUGCCAGCGUGCGCCCCUCUCGAGUGACUCUGUAGUGAGACAAUGUAUUCUUGUUCCUGCUCUACCAGUGAGGAAAUACCAUGGUAAAGUACAAGGCUAAAUCAGGGGGCUCAUGCAGACCAGCAGCACCAGGACUUUGCUAAGAGGGCCAGGCUGAGGGAUGGGGACAGGAACACCUGUCAAGAGACAUCAUGGGGGCCCAGACCCCCGAAGGACACAGGAACUCAGUACCACUUCUGGCCAGGCCCUCAUCCUGAAACUGAGAUCCUCAGAGCGAGCUCUGGAUGGGGGAAAGG
ensembl:lncRNA